rnacentral:rRNA from 1 species
CAGUCGCCGCGGUAAAACGAAGGGUGCAAGCGUUAAUCGGAAUUACUGGGCGUAAAGCGUGCGUAGGCGGUUUGUUAAGUCUGUCGUGAAAUCCCCGGGCUCAACCUGGGAAUGGCAAUGGAUACUGGCAAGCUAGAGUGUGUCAGAGGAUGGUGGAAUUCCCGGUGUAGCGGUGAAAUGCGUAGAGAUCGGGAGGAACAUCAGUGGCGAAGGCGGCCAUCUGGGACAACACUGACGCUGAGGCACGAAAGCGUGGGGAGCAAACAGGAUUAGAUACCCGUGUAGUCCCUGUCUCUUAUAC